AAGAUAUUUAAUUGAUACCAAAUGCAUAAGGGGUUCUUAAAAAAAACAGAAAAAUAAUGCACUCAAGUUAGUUGUUAGGUCUAUAAAUAGAGAGAGUUAAAAGAUCACGGAGAUCCAGUCAAGAGAGAGAGAGAAAGCAAAGAAAGAGAGAAAAAAAAAAUGGAGUGGAAAAAAGUUGCUUUAGUUGCAGUAAUGGGGAUGUUGGUUAUGGCUACUUUUACAGAGUCGGUCGGUUUGGGGGUGGAUGAGGAGAUCAUUCAAUUAGUUUCGGACGGAGUGAAUGAGUACUCACAAAAUAUUGGAAAGAAAAAUGUAGGCUGCCCUCGAAUCCUUAUGAAGUGUAAAACCGAUCGCGAUUGCUUAACUGGCUGCACUUGCAAACGGAACGGCUAUUGUGGUUGACUCUUGGCUGUGUCGUCUCGUAUCAGCUUCUACGGUGUCUUUGUUAGUGUGUUUUCUAUUUUGUGAUAAUAAUAACGCAUGGUUGUUGUGUGUCUUUGUCAUAGAUCACUUUACACUCGUAUCUAUGAGUUAGUGUGAUCAUAUCCGUGGCAAUAUGUGAUAUCCCAUCUAGCUGUUUCGUGUAAUAUUAUUAUGUUUUCUAUGUCACUAUGGUCUUUCAGGAUAUCUUCACCAUCUUCUUUCAUGAAUUUAAAGUUUCAUUUUUCUAACCAUUAAACACUCAAAUAUGAAAAAUCUGUAAGAAAUUGAAAUUUAUUCAUCUUGAAGAGUGUAGCUUCAAGAAUAAAGAAAAUUUCCCCUUUCCGCGGAUGUAGGUCGUCGAUUGCCGAACCACAGAAGGCAAAUACAAAGCAUAGAAUUGGAGGAAGAGGAUAGAAAAAGAGAGGAAAGGAAAAAGGAAAAUAGUAAGAAAAUUAUGAAGAGCAUGAAUAAGAACAUGGGUGCCGAGGCCACGAUGAUGGUGAUGAUGCUUCUGAUUGCUACCGUCGUCGAAUCAGCUGCCUCUCCUACCGAGAAGGCGAUGAUCGAACUUGUCACCGACCACCAUGCUGCCAGUUCUUUCCCACGCAAAAUGAUGAGAAAUGGGAAAGGAAAUGGAGUUUGUCCCAUAAGGGGUUGGCCGUGCAUUCCUGCGUUCGGCUGUGGCCCUUUGUCCGGCGUUUGUGCUUGCUACACUUCUGGAUAUUGUGGAGAUUACGUCGGUUGAAGUUGCACAUUUUUUUUUGGUUUCUUUUUCGUUAGUCUUUCCUGUUUCGAUGUUUUUCCAAAAUAAAUCUCUCUUUUAUGUGAGAUUUACUAUGAUAAAUUUAUGUAACAAAAUCUUAUGUUGUUAGAUGCACAAAAAGGGAGGACGAGUACAUUAUCUUUUCUUUUCA